CCUACGGGAGGCAGCAGUGAGGAAUAUUGGUCAAUGGGCGCAAGCCUGAACCAGCCAAGUAGCGUGAAGGAUGACUGCCCUACGGGUUGUAAACUUCUUUUAUAAGGGAAUAAUGUGAGGCACGUGUGCCUUUUUGUAUGUACUUUAUGAAUAAGGAUCGGCUAACUCCGUGCCAGCAGCCGCGGUAAUACGGAGGAUCCGAGCGUUAUCCGGAUUCAUUGGGUUUAAAGGGUGCGCAGGCGGGCCUUUAAGCCGGCGGUGAAAUGGCGGGGCUCCACCCCGCCGAGCCGUUGGAACUGGGGGCCUUGAGUGCGGCGGAGGGAGGCGGAAUGAGCGGUGUAGCGGGGAAAUGCAUAGAUAUAGCGCAGAACCACGAUAGCGAAGGCAGCUUGCCGGGCCGCCACUGACGCUGAGGCACGAAAGCGCGGGUAGCGAACAGGAUUAGAUACCCCGGUAGUC
rnacentral:rRNA from 1 species